GCCGCAUUAGCUCAGUUGGUAGAGCACAUCAUUCGUAAUGAUGGGGUCGUUGGUUCGAGUCCGACAUGCGGCACCA
rnacentral:tRNA from 1 species